GGAUGAACGCUAGCGGCAGGCCUAAUACAUGCAAGUCGUACGGUGUAGCAAUACAUAGUGGCGCACGGGUGCGUAACACGUAUGCAACCUACCUUAUACUGAGGGAUAGCCUUUGGAAACGGAGAUUAAUACCUCAUGGGACAUUGACUUGGCAUCGGGUUAAUGUUAAAGAUUUAUUGGUAUAAGAUGGGCAUGCGUCCAAUUAGUUAGUUGGUGAGGUAACGGCUCACCAAGACGAUGAUUGGUAUGGGAACUGAGAGGUUAAUCCCCCACACUGGCACUGAGAUACAGGCCAUACUCCUACGGGAGGCAGCAGUAGGGAAUAUUGGGCAAUGGAGGCAACUCUGACCCAGCCAUGCCGCGUGCAGGAUGAAGGCGUUAUGCGUUGUAAACUGCUUUUAUAUAGGAAGAAAUAGACCUUGCGAGGUAAGUUGACGGUACUAUAUGAAUAAGCACCGGCUAACUCCGUGCCAGCAGCCGCGGUAAUACGGAGGGUGCAAGCGUUGUCCGGAUUUAUUGGGUUUAAAGGGUGCGUAGGCGGUUUAUUAAGUCAGUGGUGAAAGACGGUCGCUCAACGAUUGCAGUGCCAUUGAUACUGGUAGACUUGAGUGGGAUUGAGGUAGCUGGAAUGGAUAGUG
rnacentral:rRNA from 1 species